UGACACAAACAAUUUGAAGUCUCUUCAACUUUCCAAGGAAAGACGCGUCACUCACUUUACAUCGAAUCAACUGCAGAACUUGGAGGUUGGUGAGGAAUUAAAGCGAUUUAAGUGAAAGAACUCCACCUAUUAUAGUAAUAACUUUUAAUGCUGGCAUCUUUUCGAAAAAAUAUUCUGGAACUUGCAAUCGGUCGCCAUAUUUAGCAUUCUCCAAUCGCAAAAUAUGAAGGUUAGGGCAUACCAAACCACUUGGAAGCUCUUUUUUUUCAUUUCCCAUCAAAAAGAUUCCUUUGUAUUUUUCCACUGCCUGUUCCGCCAAUCCAAUGCCAACUUUACUAGUAAAAUAUUUUUUCUCCAUUGAGCCUAUCCAUAAGGCUACAUCACGAACAAUGUCAUGCGUUUUCACAAAUCUGUCAUUACCAGCAUCUAAUAGCAGUGAAGAAGCUUUGAGCUCUUUAAUCGUUCCACUCAAUAGGCUCCUGACUUUUUCAAUUGACUCAGCUCGAUACCAUCUCAACCCCACUGCAUAUCCAACCAAAUCAUCCAAAUCUAUCUCAUAAUCCUCUGGAAACAAAGAACACAACAAGAAGCACGACCUGGAAUCCUCAUCAUUCAAAUAAUCGCAACUAAAUUUGAGACAACGGUAAACGUCUUGGUCCUCAUUGCCGAUACAUUCUAUUGUAUUGAGUUUUGCAUCUUGUAGUUUAUCUAGAGCGAGAUUCCACUCAUCAAAUCCUUUACCUUUUAGUGCACUUCCAACAGCUUUAAUUGCUAAAGGCAGCCCCUUACAUUCAUCAGCAACUCGUUCCGAAACACCAAUCAAGGUUGAAUUAGAAACAACAAUGCCAGCAUGCUCUCUUAGUAAAGCCAAUCCUUCUUCUUGCUUUAGAACACCUAGUUGAAUCUGCGGGUCACAACGCAUGCGAUCACAAACUGGCUGCAGGCGAGUGGUUAGAAGGAUUUUGUAACAAUUGUCUCCAUCACCAACAGGAAUACCUAUUGUCUUCAAGUCGAGUUCAUUCCAGACAUCGUCAAGUAUUAUGAGUAUCUUGCUGCUUUUACUCUCAGAAAACAUCAAGCGCAAUCGGUCUGCUCUCUCUUUUUCAUGUUUCUCAUUUAGUGCCCAGCCUAACGACUUUGCCAGCUCACCUUGAACCUUUAUUAUAUCUGGAUCCUGAGACACAGUGGCUAUCCCCACCUCAUCAAAAAUCUUUUCUUGUCGAAGUUGAUUGCCCACAAAGUUUGCCAAAGUUGUCUUUCCGACACCACUGAUACCAUACAAUCCCACUAUCGUCGUGCUAUCUCUUUUUAGUGCUUCAAUAAUCUGAUUCCAAGUCGAUUAUGUAGUCCCGAAAGACAUAAAAUGUCUUGGCAUAUGCAAUUCUCUAUCUGAUGGUAGAGGUUUAGGAAGGGCAACUGAGCUGAAUUUGCCGCAUUUCUUUUGUAGAUCAGACAACUCGCUAGUCUUCUUUGAUGCUUUUCUACCUAGCCAACAUCGCCAACCCCAAUUAGGACACCAUCCAUUAAGACAGCUCUUCUUUUCAUCUAUCUUUGCUUUCAAAUUUCGAACAUCGGCCAUUUCUUUGUCUACAUCCUUCAGCCACUUCUCUACAUCUUUCUCGAUUACAAUGGCUCGGUGUAUUUGUCGUUCUUGUUCUAUUUUUUCAUUGAUGCCGCCUUUUGCCUCCUUCAAAUUAGUUUCUUUAUCCUUAAGUUCGUUAAUAAUGCUGUUGAAACAGAGCAGAUAACGAGCUUGGUUUAUGGUUGCUUCCACCAACAAUUCUCCAAGCUUUGAUGCAACACUUGAGCUAAUUUCCAUGCUAUUUAUCUGCAAUUAAUAAAGUUGAUCUCAGUAUGCUGUAAGCAAAACAACGAGGCUUGAUCACAAGAUCGAACGAGAAAGUUUAAUUACCUUUUUCUAUUAUGUGAAUGCACGUUUAUUGACCCUAGCUUUGACCAAUAAGAACAAAAUGCAAACGCCGAGCUUUAAGUGGCCUUUAGCUGCGCAAAACAAAAGAGAAGAAACAAGGUAGCUUAUUAUUAUUAUUAUUGUUUUUAAGGACGGAUAAAGAUUAGCUAGCUUGCGGACAAAUUUACUAAAAUCAAGAUAAACCUAAGAGUUUUCCUAAUUUGUUCAAACAUAGAAUAAGCGUUUCUCAACAUUAUAUCCAUAAAUGCCCCAGCAAACGUAAUAUGUGGUGGAUUAUAUUUAAAUUAGUUUAUUUUAGAAAAUUUUAAAUAAAAAAUGUCAAACAACAAAGAAAUCUAAUAGAAUCUGGAUAAACACCGAAGAGUUCCUACAUGGGAGAAUAUGGUAAAAUUGAUGAACUUGGUUCAAAAAAUUGCAAUUCUUAUUGAGAUUAGAACCAAAGAUUUUAACUAAGGUCUCCUAAGCCAUAAAGCAUAACUCUUACUACUAAAUUACAAGUAUUUUGUUACAUUUGAAUGUGGUCUUAUUUUUUUAUUGUCUGUUUUAGAAGGGACUCAAGGUAUAUUUAAAAGAAAUAAUAAUGGUUCGGAUGGGGCUGAAGCCCACUCAUGAAAAAUUUAAAGGCUUCAACAUAAUUACCAAUUGUUUCUUCAUCCAAUUUUCUAAUAGAAUAUUGCCAGAAUUCUGAAAUAAUAUCUUAAUAUUUUUCUUCAAGUGUUUACGGCACCCUCGUAUUGGAUUGUCAAUUUAAUAACUUGUUAAAUUAUUUAAUACUUCAUCUCACGAUCUAAUGGAUAUAAAUGCUGGAGAAGGAUCAGUUCCCAGACUUUUUUUCUCUCACUAGUCUUUUGGUGAAAUAAGUGACUAAGAUUACAUUUUAUUUUUUUAUAUUGACAAUUAAAUUGGCUUGUUUCACAUUAUUAACAAUUAAGCUAGCUUUCUUUUUUUCCCCCAACUGGAUUUGGAAGGUUAUGAGGGAGUAGGUGAGAAAACACGAGAAGAACGAGAUCCUAAUUCAUAAAUAGUACCUUACUUGGGAUGCUAAAGAAUUUAAAGAUUGGGGUGAAUUCCAUUUUAGUCUCUAAAAUUUUGACCUGCUAGUAACCAUACUUUUAGUAUUUUUAAAAAGAAUGGGAUUAUUUACAUUGUAAAAUCUAUUUUGAACACUCUUUUACUUAACACAGUCAUUCAAUAAAUUUUAAAAAAUAAUUUUUACUAGGGUUGGCAAUAAACUCUAGAUCUGGCCCAGAUCCGAAAUUCGGAUCCGAAAAAAUCAGGGUUGGCAUGUUAAAAAAUGCAGAUCCAGAUCUUAAAAAUCAAGAUUCGUACGGAUCUGGAUCCACAUGCAAGUGCAUCCGAAAAAUCGGAUACCUGGAUCCGCAUUAUUUUAUAAUUAAAUUAUUUAUUUAAUUAAAUUUCAAUUGAAAAAUAUAUAAAUUAAAUUAUUUAUUUAAAUGUAUAAGCAUUAUUAACUCUAAAAUCUUCAUUAACUAUGAAAAAUAUGUUAAAAUAAUAAUAAUAAUAAUUAGAGAAUAUUGUAAUAAAUCGGUUUACCUUAGAUUUUUUUUAUGUUUGAUUUAUAUUAUGAAAUUAUUGUUUGUGAAUUUAUGGUGUUGAAUUGAUGUUAAAUUGUCGAUUGUUAAGUUAUAAUUGAAUUUUAUUUAAUAUUAUUAUAUAAAUUAUUAAAUUUCAAAUUAAAAUUAAAUUUAUUAUUAUGCAGAUCCGAAUAUUCGGAAUAUCCACCCACAAUCCGUGCGGAUAUUACCCGCAUCCAGAUCCGCAUAUUUUUUUUACGGAUCUGAAUACAGAUCGGGAUGCCAAAAGCUUAAUCUAGAGCCGAAUUCGGAUGCACCUACAUCCGGAUCCGGAUCUGGAUUUUGCCAUCCCUAUUUUGUUACUUUACACACUAUUUCAAAUGUCAAAACUGUCCUUCAUUAGGACCAUUCAUUAACUAAUUAUUUUCUAUAAAAUAUUCAUCAUUCUUGAGCCAUGUGGCGUUAAUUAAUGAUUCCUAAGCAUUAUCAAGGUUCAAGAUUUAUGUUGAAACUCUUUCAGUUGAGAUUUGAGCCUAGGCACUAGCUAUAUACAUACAUACUCUUUCAAAAGCAGUUCUGGGAAUAUUUUGUGACUAAUUUUAUAAAAGUGUUUUAGUUACAUUAACGCAGUGAAACAAUAAAGAGUACGUGGCUUGAUGAUUUCCAAAUCAUGUUGGGGAAAAAACAAAGGAUUUUCUUUUAUAAUGGAUUAGAUUAGACGAUGAAAGGAAAAUUAUUUACGAUUAUUACUUGUUUGUGUGUUUAGAGUAAUAAUAUUUUCUUAAAUUAUACUAAUGUCCCUAGUAGUAAAUUUGAUUAAGGUUAUUUUCGUAAUAUAAAUUUUUAUUAAAAUUAAAGUGUCUAAAAUAGAAUUUAGAGUGAAAAUAGCUCUUAGACGUCCAUAUCAUUACCUUUAUAACUAUUGAAGAUAUGAUUUUUCAAAUGUAAAAUAACAUUUCUAUAUGAUAUAAAUUGAAAUUCAAUCAAAUUUAUCAUGCAACAAAUGAAAAGUAAAGAAAAUUAAAUAGGUUUUAAUAGAAAUAAAAGAAGCUUCUAUGUUGAAUUUAAAAGUAUUAUAUUAGUAGUAAUCAUAUACGUAUCGAACUUUUUAAUAAAAUUUAUUUAGAAAUUGGCCAAUUGGGUUUUAUGAAGAAAAUAGAGGGGCACGAAUGGCGCCACUUUUAAUUAUUGUUGCUGUACAACUGAAAAUUGAAAUGUUGUAUUUAAAAAGUACUUGUUUGAUGUGUAAAAUGCACCAACUUGAAAUGGCACGAGAGCAUAAUGGAAUUUUGUUGGGAAAUUUACAAAAAUAACCAUAAAACUUUUACUAUUUUCACAAUUAACCCUCCAAACUUUUUUCUAUCAACAUUAACCAAACACACAAUUUUCUCCCCAAAUUACCCUUGUGUUUGCUAACCAACCUGUCGCACAUAGUUUGGUGCGAUAGACACCUGUCGCACCAAGCUAAGUGUGCCUAUCGCACCAAACUAUGUACGACAGGCACCUGUCGCACCAAGCUAUAAAUACCCAAAAAGUAAGGCUUUUUGACCAAAGCCCCGUUGUCACGGCAAGGUCAAUGGAACAAAAGCGGGGAUGAUGGUUGUCGAAGCCAGCAAAAAUAAAUACAUACUCUAAAUAAAUUGUAUAUAGUGAUUGAGCAGGAUCGUGUCCACAGAGAUCGGUAAUUAUUUAAAUCCUUUUUGAAAUAUAAAAUGCAAAAUGGGGGAUUUGUUGACAAUAAUAAAAAUCAAAUUAAAAUAACAAGAAUGCAAAUUAAAAUUGUAAUUCAAAUUGGAAAAAACUCUGGUUGAAGGAAUUAACUCAGCUUGAUUUGACUACUGAUCAUUGAUUCAAAUAUAAAUUAUUACUACUUAUGAAUAGACCGGUUAUAGCUACUGAGACCCUCUAAUAGCCAAUCUCUCCUUAACUAGUCGAUAACCAAGGUACGACCGUUGGUUAUUUCCCUAAUCAAUAGACAACCAUAGAUACGAUCAUAGGAUUUAAUCAAUUGACAGCUUGAAAAACUAGAGAGACCCAAAUCCUAAUCAACAAACGCAUACGAUGGUUCAUUUAAAUUAGAUUGUUUAUUCUCAUAACACAACUCACUGCUAUGUUAUUUGUCACAAACAUUAAAAUAUUCAUACGAUGAAUCCUUUAAUUGACAAUAGAUUAAGUUGAUAAUUAAAUAGUGGCCAAUUAUCUAAUUAACAAACAUAAUCAUGAUAAUAAUUCAGAGAAUAAACAAAUACCCAAAAAGUAAUAAAACAAUUAAAGCAUAAGAAAUAUCUCAAAGUGGUGAUGAAUCAAAGUUUCAUUAACCUUCAACUAGAAUAAUAGGUUUAGCUCUUCAUAGAGAGAAGAGAAAAGUUUGAAAUACUAACUAGGCAACCCAAGAGGGGGGUGAAUUGGGAUUUUAAAAAGGGAAAAUAUCCACCGUCCACCUAUUUUUUACACCUUUUUCAAAAAUACACAAUUCCUUCAUUUUUUGGCUGGAAUCCACCCAAAGUUAUAUUUUUUUUCACUUUUCCACUUCCGUUUGGAAUCCGUUAAGAAAACUAACGGAAAUUUUAAAAAAUGACCAUUUUACCCCCAAAACGAAAAUUAUAAUUUCACCUUAAAAAUUACAAAAAAUAAUUAGAUUAAAUCUAAUUAUUUUCCCCAUCGGUCAAUAAAUAAAUUAAUUCCAUAACCAUCAAAUGCAUGUUUUUUUUUUAAAUAUAUCUGUAAUUAGAAUGCUAAAUUAUAACAGUAGUAUUAAAAAUAGCCCAAUUUCACAAAUCAUCAAUUGAAUUUAAGAUAAGUAGAGUUUUAUUAUUAAUUGAGUUAUAAUCUCUAGUAGUUAAGAUUUUUUUGUACUUCAUUAAAGUACCAAUAAUGAUAUUCAUCAUUAAAUCUUAUUAUUUUUGGUAUUUUUUAAGGUGAAAUUGUAAUUUUCGUUUUGGGGGUAAAAUGAUCAUUUUAUUAAGUUUCCGUUAGUUUUCUUAACGGAUUCCAAACGGAAGUGGAAAAGUGAAAAAAAAUGUAACUUUAGGUGGAUUCCAGCUAAAAAAUGAAGGAAUUGUGUAUUUUUUAAAAAGGUGUAAAAAAUAGGUGGACGGUAGAUAUUUUCCCUUUUAAAAAUUAAGCUAAGCAAACCACACAACAAUCCAAUCUAAUGCCUUAAUAAAUUCGAAAACAAUAAAUUCAAUGAAAGCACAAUAAUAAAUGAGCAAGGGAAGAGAAAGCAAACUCAAGGAUUUUUACGUGGUUCGGCAAUCCCCGCCUAUGUCCACGCCUCCAAGCACAUCGGGCUUGAGGAUUUCACUAUCCGAGCCUUUCCAAGGCUUCAAACGUUUACAAUUGACUUCAAGGUGUCAAUGAACCUUUACAACAAGAGAUUAUCUCUCCAAUCUCUUCACCCCAAGUGUUUCUCACACUUGUACACCGACAAUUUGAUGAGAAAUGAAAAUUACAACAAUGAAACUCUCUUUAAGAGUGGAUAUACAAAUUGAUAGCUCAAUAAAGAUUUAAUCUAUGAUGAUUUUUGAAUUUGAAGCUCAAUAUAAGUUGUGUGCAUUUGUUUAUGCUUGCUUAGAUUACCAAAAAUGAAUUGGUUUUCAGUUUAUAUAGUUUGAGUUAAAAAACUAGCCGUUAUGCACAUUUUGGUCGUAACCGGCUUACCGUUUAUGGAAUCCGGUUAGCCGCUUUUAUGUUACCGUUAAGGCAAAAAUUUGAAUUUCAGAAUAGCUGGCAUGCCGCUUUUCAUAUCCGGUUAGCCGCUUUUGAAAUAUGGAUUGCCGCUUACGAAAUUCGGAUAGUCGUUUAUGCUCCAAAAGUUUACUGCCCAAAAUCCAGAUUGUCGUUUACCAUAUCCGGUUAGCCGCUUGCUACAGUAACUGCUACAAUGAAAUAUUUUCCAAAUUUAUAAUUUGACCCCAAAACGUUAUGAAAUCUUUCAAAUAGGUCCAAUUUUAGAAUUUCAAAAUAAUGCUUUGUCAAUCCCAAAACUUUAUGAAAUUAUGAUAUGGCCCAAAAUGAUAUGAAAAUUUUCAAAUAAAUCUUUUUCCAAAAUUUCAAGCAAUAUUUGUUGAUUUCAAAGUUUUCAAAAUUCUUCCAAUUAAACCAUAAACUUGAAAAACAACCAAUUUCAUAAAAUCAUUUUUCCAUUAAAUAUGAAACCUUUAUAAUGUGAAAAUAAUGAUUUAUUUAAAAAGAAAAUAAUUUGAGCAUAAAAGAAUAAUCAUUCUUAAUCUUGUUUGUUAUCAUCAAAAUCAACAUUUGGAAACAUAUAUGUUAACAAAGUUUAGAUCUAGGGUUUCUUUCUUUUCAAAAAUCUCCUUUUUUCACAAUAGAUUCCUCCCUUAAAUACUCUCUCUCUCUCUUCUCCUUGAGAGUUCUAUUUAAAAUAAAAUAUUAAUAUCUGAAAUAUUAAAUUCGUAAUUACAAAAAUACAAAACACGUUAAAUUAAAAACUGCAGGUCCGUAGUUGACAGCACGCGCCCAUGCCUUAUCAACAAAGUUCUUCUGACACUCAUAAUUUCUCCAAAAGAACAAUCAUCCUUAAACAUCAUCUUGUAGCUCAAUUUUAUCACCAAUCAAUAGAAUUGCACCUACAAAAGUAAAACACAAGUAAAUCAUUAUUAUUAAGUGCAAAACAUCGAUAUUAAGGGAAGUAAACAAUGCAAAACUAGUGCAUAAAUUGCACUCUAACAGGGGAUCCUUGCACUGGAGCUACCAUCGAUGAUUCCAUUGUCUUUGAUAACCCCGAUUACAAUCCCUUCAUCAAAUGUGACUGCUCUUCCCAAAAUGGCACCGUGUGCCACAUUACCCAGUUGUAAGUUUUUUUAUUUUAUUUUAUGGGGACACACUUGCAAGAAUUAUUUGAUCAUAUCUGUAUAUCUUUCUUUUCAUGCUUGCUUGUUAUUAUUUUUUCUUUCUUUUUGAAACUUUUGUUUACAGGAAAGUUUAUGCGCUAAAUGUGGUUGGUGUGGUACCAGAUGAACUAUGGAAUCUGACUUCCCUCUUUAAUCUGUAUGUUUUCAUUUUUUUUCCCUUAAGUGCAGACAUAUUUUAAAAUGCAAAAUCGAGAGUAAUAUUGAUUCGCAUGGCUGGCCUUGAAUAAUUUGACAAUUUUCCACCUUGUAACAGGAACCUAGGCCAGAAUAUUGGUGGGAGAAUAGGAAAUAGAAAUUUAGGGUUUUUGACCUAACCUUUAAUUUCAACUUUUGACCGGAUCUAAGUAAGUGUUGGCUGCCGAGAAUGACUCUGGGAAGCCGCCGACGACGAGUGAAUAAGUUGGGAGUGAAUUCGGCGAGGAGAAAGAGAUGAAGGAGAGGAAGAGGAGGAAAGAGAGGGAGAGUUAUGGGAGGGGUAUUUUCGGUACUAGGGAUGAUUAUUGGCUAAUGUUGAUAGGAAAAAAAAUUGAGGGGUUAGUUGUGAAAAUAACAAUUUUUUUUAGGUUAUUUGUGUAAAUUUCCCAAUUUUGUUGGGAUUGAAAGACAAGGGGCCAGAUGGUAGUCCGGUGGGAAAUAAAAUCAUUUUUUCUUAAAAGACAUAUAAACUUUAUUGAAAGUUAUUAGUUAACAUUAGCCACAGUUUUUUUUUUUUUUUUUGAGAUAAGAGAUAGGUAAAGGCUAAAUCUAUUUUUUAGCCCCUACCUCCCAGGCUAAGAUCUAACUUGGGUGGCAAAUUAAAUAAACUUGUUUGAAACUACUCAGCCACAUCUUUAGGGGUAUUAUUGUUAGUUGUCUUAACUACUAAAUUAAUAAAAUUUGUAAUCUUUUCAAUAAAGAUUUUCCUAUAAUAUUGUAUAAGCUUGUAUAGUAUUAAUAAUGGGACUGUUGUGGACCCAUGAAUUUAAGUGUUUUAUGGUGCAUUCGGUAUUGUUUUCAAAUUUCAUUUUCUAUCUUCUAAAUUCAAGAAACAUCAAAUACAUGUUUGGUAGAUUGUUUCUAAAUAUACUUUUGAAAAUUUAAAAUUUAUUUAUACUUUUAACAAAGAAAAUAAGAAAACAACAUUUUCUUGUUUUCUUUGUUUCCCAAUUCAAUUUAAGCUUCAAUAUGAAAAAUUUUCUUCCGCCAUCUCUCAAAAUAAUAAUGACAUCAACAACAACAAAGACAACAACAACAUUGUUGUUGUUGUUAUUAGACCACCUAAAAAUCAACUUCCAUUACAAUAAUCUUUUCUUCUUUUAUGCAUUAUAAUAUUUAUGCUUUUAUAUAUUAAUUAAAUCAAGUAUGCAGAGUUUAUCAUUUUUCUUUAAACAAAAAAAGAUCACCUAAUUUAUUCUUAAAGUUAAAAAAUAAACUAAUUAAACAAUAAAAAUCACCUAAUUACACUACUUAAUAUUAAGUUUAUGGAAAUUAUUCUAAUAAUAAUUAUUUAAGAUAUUCCUAUCGAGAAUGUUUUUCUUUUUUCUUACGUUCAAGAUUAUUUUCGAAAAUGAUAUCGAACACAUUUAAAAAUGUUUUAAAAUAAAUUCGAAAAUAGCAUUUUCAUUCUCAUUUUUUUUAAUGAAAACAACAAUUGAAAAACAAUACCCAAAUAUGAUAUAAUGAUAAAAAUUUAAUGAAAUAUAUAGUAGUGGGUAAUGUUCAGGUUAUAAGUGAAUGUAGAUAUAUAUAUAUAUAUAUAUAUAUAUAUAUAUAUAUAUUACUUUCAACUAAUAGAUAAAAGAAAAUUUCUAUGGUGUUGGGAUGAAAAUCCCAUUAUCAAUGAUGAGAUUAUUAUUGAUCAUUAGAUUUAAAUAUUAGAAUCUUCAACCUUAAUUUAAUUUUAAUAGUAAGUAAUUGUGUAACAAGUAAUUUGCAUGUUGUGAUAUUUCUUUAUACAUUAAUUUAUUUUUAUCCAAUCAAUUGAUAAACAUUUUUAGGUCACCAAAAAAUUGUAAAAAAAGUAAAAGUAAUUCUGAAAUUAAAAACGUUAUAUACUGCCUAUAGCUAUAUAAUUUUACUGUUUCUUCUUUCACAAUUAAUAUUCAUAUAAAAAUAGCUUCUAAAUAAAUGUAAUAUUAUUCCAACAAUACUUUAUAGGGACAAUGACACCUAUACCCUACAGUUUAGGGAAAUGUUCACAAAUAUCUCUAAGUUUUUAGGAAGGGACAUCAACACCCAUUUUAACCAUAAUGCCCUUUGAAUUUAAUAAUUAGAAAAUUGACUUUAAGAUUUUUUAAUUGACAAAUUUAAUAUAAAUAAUAUAAUCUAUCAAGUAGACUAAUAAUACUAAAUUAAUUAUUUUUAACAUUAAAAUAAUAUUAAAAUUUUAAAUUAUUAUAUUUAUUUUAAUAAUAUAUUUGUAUAUAUUAUAAACAUUUUCAAUAAAUCUUGGGUUGAAUAGAUUUUACAAUUAAAAAAAUAUACCCCUAUUAAUAAUAUGAAAAUUAUUUUUACAUAAUAUUUAAAAUAAUUUUAAUUUUAACUCAUUUAUUUUAAUAUUAUGUUUCUAUUUGUUAUUAAAAGUUAAUUUAUUAUCUUAAAUUUGUGUUAAUUAAAAAACUUUAAAGUAAAUUUUCUAAUUCCUAAAUUCAAAGGACAUUACGAUUAAAAAGGGGUUUCGGUGUUCCUUUUUGAAUACCUGGAGAUCUUUGCGACCAUUUCCCCAUACCUUAGAGGUGUAAGUGUCUUUUUCCUUACUUUAUAUAAAGAUAUUUCAUAGAUCUUAUAAUAAUUUAUAUUGUAUGAAUUUAAUUAAAUGACCAUUAAUACUUAAACAUUAAUAAUUAUAGAAGGUAUUGUAAUAAAUUAUUUGAUAUAUAUUAUUAAUGAUACUAUAUAUGUGUGUAUAUAACUACAUGAUGGCUUGGAUAUAUAUUUUUAGUAGUAAGUAUUUUAACUUAAAUUUUUAAAACAAAAUUUAUACUAUUGAUUUCAUGUAAUUCAAUGGUGGAUGAUUUAACAUCAUAAAAUAUUGUUUUGAUGUUUAAUAUCAAUCAUUAAAUUGUGAGAGAUUAAUUUCUCAAAUUUUGUGUUAAAAUUUUAAGUUAAAAUAUCCCAAACCAAUUGUUUUAUGAAAAUACAAAAAUAUAUAAAGAAUUUUUCUCAUUAAUUUUCAUAUGAAUAUUAUUAUAGGUAAUAUUUUAUAUAUUGUCACCAUUAAUUACCAUCAUUAAAAUAGUGACUCUUAGUAAUAUAGAAUUUUAUAAUAAGUUAAUUGCAACCAAAGUAUACCAACAAAUAAUAUUUCACGAUUCAUGAACUAAAGCUAAUUAAGAAUAUAUUUUAUGUUUAACUUUUAUGAAAUCAACAAAAUGAUAUUAGAAAAUAAAAUGAAAAUAGACUAGUGAAAGCUUUGAGUAAUUUUCUGCAAUGCAAGAAUAUUAAUUGUAAUAUAAACCAUAAUUUCAUCGUAUAGCUACGCUAAAUGGGAGUAACAAAUAAUAUAUACUUUACGAUCAACUAUUAAAUGGUCCUUAAUAGCAUAUAAAGUAGUGGGUAUUUUAAUAUAUACUAUUAAACUUUUUUAAAACAUAAGUAGUUAAGUAUAUGAUUUUUAGGAUAUAAACAAUCACGACCAAAAGUUUAUUGAUGUAAAUUAUAUGGCAUUCAGUUAAAUGUACAUACUUAAUUCUAAUUGGUAAACAAUUCUCUUUCUUUCUUUGCUCUCUUACAACUUGAGGCACAUAACCAAACGCGUGGCUAUUAGCAUUUGCCACCAUGUAUUUAACAACCCCAAAUGAAGAUAUUAAUUUUUUUAGUUCAAUUGCUGCUUCAAAAUGGGGUACUGAAUUUGGAUUUUGUUAUCCAAAUACCAAAAAUUUCUCACAUUGUGUUGGACAGUUUUUGGUUCUAAAGUUGAUGACUGGUUUUGCGAAUCAGGCUUCAAAUGAGAACUUCUAAACAAUAAGACAAAUGGGUUUUGAGUUUAUAAUCUUGUAAACUUUGUUCUAUUGUAUAAGUUAUGAAAUCGCUGAAACAUCACUACAGCUACAGAUCUUUAUGUGUCAAUGAACUGCAGAAGCUAAUGAUCUACUUGUAGUAGACUUCUAUUGCCCCUGCCGUUCUAGGAAGACAAACAAGUUCAGGAACUACUUUUGGACCAAACUCAUAAUAUUGCCACUGCUUUGUGCCAAUCUGAGACGGAAAGAAGAUUGAAGUUCCUAAAUAAGGCACAUCAUGAUUUGAUAGAAGUACCACUAUGAGGAACAAUUGAUUUCAGGAAAGCACUAAAAUAUGACAUAAUCUCCCCCUAAUGGUCUAAAGUAGUCAAGAAAUGAUAUCAACCAAGCAAAAACACAUAAACUAGUUGAGAUACAAAAUUAUUGUAAAAGUCAAUUUUGAUCACAAAUCCAUUAAAAUUGAAAGACAUCAGAAACUUAGAGAACAUUAUAAUUUAGGACUCAUCUAAGUUGCAGAUUCUGUAACUAACAGCUGAGUCCACAUUGGUCUUGCAUCAGCUGAGUUUGGGUUGCUUUUCCUCUCUCCUGCAACUCGUACGUGGAAGCGCCCCAUUUGCUGUGUUAUAUACCGAGUCGAUACCGUAACAAGCUACUAUAAUUUAAGUUUGAUUACUGUAGACAAUAGUCUGCCCUGCUCAAAAGCUAUGCAGCAAGACAUAACAUCUUUGCAAUGUUAUACUUUCUAAAAGUAAUAAGAAAUGAAACCAAGGGGUAAAUAGAACACCAAAAGAAAUUUAGUCGGCCAACCACAUUAUGUUCCCACACAGUCCACUAAUUAAGUUAAUAAUUAAAGGGAAUCAAAAUCUAAGAAAUCUCAUCUUCAAGCAAAAUACAAACACACCGGGAUUGAAAAUCACAAAAUCAUAAAAAGAAGCUGACUUGAAAAGCUCAAAUAUACGUUCAUCAGCCUCUCAACUUAUAUCUAAGAACAAAUGCUUGCAGCUUGUGAAGACAUAGAUAAUUGAAGCUGAUGAGGCACAUUUAACAGAUGAUAAUCAAAACUCGUGUGAUUAAAAUUGUAAUUCAAUAAUGGAGCACAUAAAACAAGAAGUAACUAGUUGUAUAUAUACCAAACAACUUUCUGAAGUUAAGGCGUAAAACAACAACGUAGAACAAAUUAAUUAAAUAUACCAGCACCAAUACUCUUAUUAUUAUCCAAAUAUAGAAGACAAAUGUAUCAAACAAGGAAAAUGAAAUAUUGUUAAUAACUCAAAAACCACUAGUGUCAAGAAAUAAACUAAUAAGUAAAACCCAUAAUCAGACACGACCACUUCAAAAUCUCUGAAAAUUGAGGUCUAAACAUUGAAAACAAUUAGACAUAUAUAACAGUCAAUCGAAACAAAGCCUUAAAAUAAUAAUGAACUAUAAUAAGACAGAAACUAAAUUAUAAACAACCGCAUACCCAGUAACAGUAAUCAAGUAACAAGUCAAAACCAUAAUCAAAUGUAGAAUUUGAAAUCCAUACGAACUCUAACGUAUUAGAAUGAAAGAAUAAGGACGAUCGAUAAACUAGACUAAAAAAAAAACAUGCCAAGUUAAAAAAUGAAGGUAAAUAAAUAAAAAUGGUAUAAAACUGCGAAAAAAAUUAAUGAAAUGAAGAGAAAAUCACAGGAAUCCUAUGAAAAGGAAGGUAAACAAAACCUUCGAGAGCCGAGAAGAUGCCUUUUUUGUUCACUUUUGUGCCCUUACAUACAAUUUUUUUUGGUAAUUUUGAAGAAAGUAUUGGUUAAAUAUUGUCAGAACGAAAUAUUAAUAGAUGCUGGCAAUUUCAAGAAGGACAAUCUUCGAUUCAAAUGUAUCCCUAUGAUAAAGAAAAAGCCUACUUGGCUAAAUUUUGAGCACCACAUUACAAGAUCUAGGUGUAUGUAACCAUGCAAAAUGAAACAUCUAUUAAUUGUAAGUCCCUUGACCUCUGGAACCAGCCAACCAGUCUCUUUUCUGCUAGACAACCUUCUAUCGAUCAGACUAAUAAUAUUUACUAAAUCAUGUUCUACAGUUAAUGGAGUUGGACCCAAGGCAAUUGUUAGAAGUCCGCCUAGACAUAGAGUGCGCUUAGACGUGGGAUGCUUAGAAAUGAGCCGCCAACACAACCAGCCAACUGUAGUGUGCUUAGCAAAGCACCCAAGCACGGCCCAAGAUCUAGAACUAUCUACAAAUUGUAAAUAAGCUAAAAUUUUAUAAGUUUCUCCACAUAGGUCCCUAGGAUAUUUAUGGAAGUUGCUAGGAAGUUUCCUCCCCUAGAACUCUAAUACCUAUAAAUAGGGGUAAGACCCCUCAUUUGCCCACCAACCACACCACACACACAAACACUCUAGCACACACACAGGCACUCUAGCUUUUGUAAAAAGCUCUCUUGUAUAUUUUCUCUUUGUGAGUAAUAAAAUCAUAUUCAGCCAUAUUGCUCUACUUCUCUCUAGCAUUUUCUGCAAGUGUUCUUGCUUCGCUAGUUUGAGGAGUGUUCUAGGGUUGCUUAACAACUUGUUCGCUAGAAGGACAUCUUGGUCACAAAACAUGGACAUGCAAGAAAAAAAUAAUAUUGAUACGUUCUAAAAAUAAUAUGCGUUCUUCUACAGUGAACCAAAAAAUUUAGGCUAAUGGUAGCAAGUGAAGAAUUGUGAUUUCACGUGCAUUUUUUUGACAUGAACGUAAAGGACUUUUUUUAUAGUUUAUAUUGUUUAAUAUAACAUUUGAAUUGCAAAAUAGGGGUACAAAAUAGAUACACGAAGUGAUAAAACUAAGCUGAUUAUAAUAAAUAUUGAAUUAUAAGAUUUAGGUUUAAUCAAAAAGACAUAAGUGGCGCACAAAGUCAUGAAUUGAUAUCAUCCAUAAUGCAAGUUCAAACAACUGCAUAAUAAGUUGCCCCAAGCUAAACUAUUAAUCUAGUAACUAUUCCAGUCGAUGUGGGGCUCCGAUACUAUAUAGAAGCCUAUGACCCAAAAUUAUACUUAAAGGUUAUCUCAAGAUUUGAGGGUUGCCUCAAGCUAAUAUUAUUUUUAGCCUGGUAACCUUUUUUGUUUGUUGAUAUGUGAUAUUUUCCCUAUAACUUUUAUUAAUCUUUAUGCUUAUGUUUUGUCAUUUAUCCCAAAAUAUAACAUUAACAAAAGUUCCAAAAUUUCCUUCAAGAGAUAUAUUUGAGACAAGUAAUUUGUGCAAUAACUUUGUAAAUUGAUGAGCAAAUUCAGAGAAAAGAAUAUAUGUGCCAAACAUAACGUUUAUUAUUGUGUUUAUUUGUAGAGCUAUUUAAAGCCCAAAAAAAAAAAAGCACCGGUCCGCUAUGAUUUCAAAUAAGUUCAAGCCCUAUGUCAUCAUUGGUACAAAAAUGUAUUAAAAAGGUUAAAAACUAUUUUUAAAGGUUAAAAACUAUUUUUAUUUAACUUAUAAACUUAGGAAAUUAUCAACUGUCCGCCCUUAAAUUGUGCUAUUAUAAAAAAUAUUACAAUAUUUUCAGGUUGUGUCAUUCAUCUACCAUAAAUUUACAAUCUGCAUCAUUUAUCCACCAAAUCAUUAACUUCGUCAAAAAGUGAUAGACGUCACAAGGGUAAUUUAGACAUUUAACACAAAAAAAUAAAAGAGAAAUUAUCUAAGCUUACCAUGUUAUCAAAAUUGCUACAAAAUUUUAAAUUUGUUCAAUUUUCCAAUCUAAGUUUAUGACCUCCAAGAUGUUAAUUGCAGUUUGUAAUUAAUGACUUCAUAAGGAUAAUUUAGACACUCAAUAUGCAAAAUAAAAAAUAAAAUAAUGGCUUAAAACAUUAAAACAAAAACUACUUUUUAUAAUUGAUAUUCAAUUAAAUACACAUAAACUCUAUUUUUUCUUAAUUAAAAAUAUUCUAAUUUAUUUUCUCAAUUUAUCUUCAUAAAUUUACAUUAAUAAACUAAAUCCACAAAUUACCCUAAACCCUAAUUCAUAAAUGCCCAAUCAAUAUAAUAGUUUAAUUCGAUUUCAUAAUUAAAAAAAAGCUAAAUUUAUUAUAUUAGUUAUGGUGCAAUGUCAAAAAUGUCCUUAAAUCCAAGGGUAAAAUAGCAUUUUAUUUAAAUUCUAUGAAUUAUUCUAACAAUGUUAACAUUUUGUUGGACGGUUAAUAUAAGUUACAAACUUAAAAUAGAAAAUCAAAUAAAUUCAAAAUUUCAAACUAUUUAGGGCAAAUUUAGGAUAUAUGGUUAAUAAUUUUCCUAUGUCUUUUUACAUUGGUUGAUAUAAGUUACAAACUUAAAAUAGAAAAUCAAAUAAAUUUAAAUUUUUAAAUCAUUUAGGGCAAACUUAGGGUAUAUGGUUAAUAAUUUUUCUAUUUUUUUUACGUUAAGUUGAGUUUCAAAGACAUAAUGGUCAAUUUAUUAUAAAUCUAUUAAUUUUUUAAUGGAAGCAAAUGAUAUAAUGGACGAAUGAUAUAAAUUGUAGAAUUAAGGUGCAUGAACGAUAUAACUUUAAAGUAUUGUAGUACUUUUAAUAAUAGAACAAUUUAAAGGUUGAUUGGCGAUAAUUUAAACUUUAAUGAAGCAACUAAAAAAAAAAUUUAACAAAGAAAAAUAAUUGAAUGCUUUGUGAAACCAAAAAUAUUUGAAAUGUUUUAAGAAAAAUAAAGGAAAUUAAAUAUCUUUUUAAAAAACAUAAUUGAGUAAAAUCAUUUUACAAAAUACUCUUUCAAAUGCACAUUCCACAAGCCAAGAAGAACGGGUGGCUAACAAAAAUCUCACUUUUUAUGAGUUUAUAAAAUCUCACUUUCACAAAAUCCAAAAAUAACCAAUACUAUCACACAAAAUAUAAAAAAGUAUUGCUGUCACGACAUUACACACUUUCUUCGCCGUCUAGAAAGGUAGAACAUUUUGAAGUUCCUCAAUACAAAAUGCGUACUAUUACUAAAUUGGCCCAAUUAAUGCCCCCCCAAAGGCCAUCAAUUUAGCCAACAAAUUUGCCAAAGUUUUAACAAUUGAAGAAAUAGUGAGCUCAAAAGGAACAGAUAAAUUUUGAAGUUGAACAAACCUUAAGGUACAUGCAACAAAGCCUUGAAACUUUAGUCUUCACAAUUUAAGCACGCAAUAAUAUUAAGUAUCCACCUAAAAAACAAGUAUAGAACAAAGCUUGUUAGCUUCUUGGGCAUUAACUAUGAAUGAUGAGUAAAAUUAAAAAAGCAAACAAAGAAAAUUAUAGGAAGAAGAAAAGCAAACAUUUAAAAAAAAAAUUAUGAGAAGGAAAAUUUUGGUAGAACUCCGUGGCUCAUCUGUGAAAUUAAUGUCAAUAUGUAUUUUUAUGUAAAUAGGGUCUCUGGAUUUUAGGAUGAAUCAAUCAGCUACCACAAACGAAAACAUGAACCAACUGUAUAUAGAGUCAAUUAAUUAAAGUUCUCAAGAGCUUACCUCUGCUCCAGAAUUCUCGGAAUCAUCUAUUUCCUUCUGAAUUUGCGCGAAGCUUGGGACAACUAAGAAAGCGUCCAUGUGGAGCUGGGAUCUGAUAACCCGCAGGCCAAAAGUUGGUGAGGUUUGGUAAAUCUAACAGUGUCAAGUUCCAAAAUCCAUUCAUAACAAUUUCAUUGUAAUCCGUGACAUCUGCUCCAUCUUUAUGCCAGAAUACUUCUUCUAAUUCAUAAUUACUUUCUACCCAUAGUUGAGUUAGAUUUUGAAGACUUGGAGCUACGCUAAUAUGAAAUAGAUGCUUUAGUUUGGGGCAAUUGUAGAAAGUGAUCCUUCUGAGUUUUGGGAAACAUACAGGUUGGAGAUGAUCCUCAUCCUCAUCCUCAUCAAUGAUUUGCUCUAAUUCCAAGCAUUUCCGAACAGAUAACUCCUCCAAUUGCAACAGAUUUCGAGCAAGUGUCGAUGAGAGGAGACGUUUCAACUUAGAGCACCGGAUCACGAGUAAACGGGUAAGAUUUUGCAGGCUAAAAAUAUGCGUGGGACCUUCAUGAUAUAAUACUUGCAGUUCUGGAAGAUUUUUCAAUUGCAACGACUUCAAACAUGGGAAUAGUUUGUUUUCUUGUCCCUCAGCGAUAAUAGCUUCCAAUUGAAACACCACAUGUACUCCAAGUUGGCUAAUUUUCAAAUCUUCCAAAUUUUUUAAGUCGUGCUUCAACAGUGCUGGAAUCGUGUCACUCAAAUGGGAACAAUUGUCCACAUUUAGAAUUUUUAAGUUCUGAGACAAAUAAAUAAAUAACUUGAUGUAAUUAAAAUCUAUUAGUAGCUAAGAUUAUCACAUGAUAAGUGAUGAACACCGCAAAAAACAAAAAUAGAAACAAAAUCCAUACAAAAAUAUAAUAAUACAUAUGUAAACUAAUAAAAUAAUUAAAAAGUAAUAUGGAUUGAUCAUGUGAAGUGAUAUAAAGGUGACAUUAGAUUGUUUGAGAAAAAUUAGUAUUCUAUUAAUUUCUAUGGAUUGAUCAACUAAUUAAUUGAAUUUGAGUAAUAUUAUAUUCACUUCAGUAAGUGUUUGUAUCAAUUCUUUCUAAACCAAAAUGAGAUAAGACUUCCAUUUGAACAAUGAUUUUAGGCCCUAAAAUAAAGAAAUUUCCCUAAGAUAUUUGAGCAUUAUUACUAUGAUCACCACAUCCAUGAUCAUCAUCAUCUCCAUAGGACCAAAUAAUUAAUGGCUGAUCAUAAAAUUUAUUGCUAAAUUAUCAUUUUGAGUAAAAUUGAAGGAAAAGAAAAAAUAUAAACACAAACAAACAUACCUCUUCAAGAUACUGCAAAUUGGCUUCAAGUUCAGUACUGCUGAUGGUCAAGUUGGGACAGUGCCUAAGGUGUGACUCUUCCAAUGCUGUCCAAAUUGAACAAUAAUUUUCUGAACAGAAGCUCUUGAGUUUUGGGAGAUUGUGAAGUGUUAAUUUUGUCAACAAAGGGAGGGCAAGCAUCGAAUUUCCAUCUCCAACACUUAUUUCCCCUUCAUUGUGAUCAAACUUUGCUUCGACAAUACAUUCCAUUCUCCAGCAUCCACUUACAUAGAGACUUUUAAGCUGCUUCAAACUUCUAGCUUGUGACAACGUGAAGAUAUAUGUCAAAUUGUUGCACCCACACACAGUCAAUUCUGUAAGAGCUUGGAGGCUGAUCACAUAUUGGGCGGGCGCCUUCCAUAUCCACUUCAGUUCUGGUAAUUGCCACAUAGAUAACUCUGCUAAUCUUGAGAGCAUCACAGGAUUCCCACUCUUUCCAUGCGGCGACUUAGAGGCAUCCAUUAUGCAUUCUAAUUCUUUGCACUCGUUGACAGAAAGACAAGUCAACUCAUUUAAGCCCCUUGGAUCUAUGCUUGGCACAAUAUUGUGACAACCUAUAAUCGUUCUUAAAUUAAGAAUUUCCAGUUCUUGAUACAAUGCCGAAAAAAUACCGAGCGAGGUUGCUUCACAAUUAUUAAUCUUUAAGCCCCUUCUCUGUCCAAAAAUUUCAUCUUCUUCUUGCAUUAGAAAUUCAAGUUUGUUACCGUUACUGACGUGGUGCCUUUGCAAUUUCGGGAAUGUAAAGUCUUUUGGAAGACGUGCAAUUUUUUUGUCAGUAUGUAAAGUCUUUCCAUCGUCAUUUUCUUCUGAACUCAUCCCUUCAGCCUCCCAAUCUUUUAUCCGACCAUAAAAUUCUUCUAAUUGAGGAAAUUUUUUUAUCGUAAUGGGAGAAAUACAACCAGAAUUAAUGAAUAUAAGAAGUUUCAAUCUACUAAGUUGAUCCCCAAGUUCUUCAGGAAUUUCAAUGGGAGACUCCUUGACACAAAGAAUUUGAAGUCUCUUCAACUUUCCAAGGAAAGAUGCGUCACUUACUUUACAUUGAAUCAACUGCAGAACUUGGAGGUUGGUCAGGAAUUGAAGCGAUUUAAGUGAAAUGACUCCACCUAUUACAGUAACAACUUUCAAUGCUGGCAUCCCUUCGAAAAAAUGCUCUGGAACAUGAAAUUGAUAGUCAUAACCACUAGGAAGCUCUUCUUUUACAUAUCCCAGGAAAGAGAUUCCUUCAUAUUGUUCCAUUGCCCGUUCCGCCAAUCCAUCUGUAGUAACAACU
rnacentral:lncRNA from 1 species